UCUCUUCAAGAUAUCCGGCAAAAUAAUACAUAUACCAAUGGGUACUGCACGAACAAAUAUCUAACACGUUUUACAAGCACAAGCCACUAAUUUUUUCUCUUCAAAUUUGAAAUGCAACAUGAAAAGAAAAGAAAAAAAAAAUCAUAGAAACAAAAUAGUAAUCCAAUUAACGUCCAAAUUACAUAAAUACAUAUUGCCUCUUAUACAUUGUUGGAAG